rnacentral:rRNA from 1 species
GUACACUCCUGCGGGAGGCAGCAGUGGGGAAUUUUGGACAAUGGGCGAAAGCCUGAUCCAGCAAUGCCGCGUGAGUGAAGAAGGCCUUCGGGUUGUAAAGCUCUUUUGUCAGGGAAGAAACGGUGAGAGCUAAUAUCUCUUGCUAAUGACGGUACCUGAAGAAUAAGCACCGGCUAACUACGUGCCAGCAGCCGCGGUAAUAAGUAGGGUGCAAGCGUUAAUCGGAAUUACUGGGCGUAAAGCGUGCGCAGGCGGUUUUGUAAGUCUGAUGUGAAAUCCCCGGGCUCAACCUGGGAAUUGCAUUGGAGACUGCAAGGCUAGAAUCUGGCAGAGGGGGGUAGAAUUCCACGUGUAGCAGUGAAAUGCGUAGAUAUGUGGAGGAACACCGAUGGCGAAGGCAGCCCCCUGGGUCAAGAUUGACGCUCAUGCACGAAAGCGUGGGGAGCAAACAGGAUUAGAUACCCUUGUAGUCCC